rnacentral:rRNA from 1 species
AUUGAACGCUGGCGGCAUGCCUUACACAUGCAAGUCGAACGGCAGCACGGGGGCGAACCCUGGUGGCGAGUGGCGAACGGGUGAGUAAUGCAUCGGAACGUGCCCCGUAGCGGGGGAUAACCAGUCGAAAGACUGGCUAAUACCGCAUACGCUCCACGGAGGAAAGCAGGGGAUCGCAAGACCUUGCACUAUGGGAGCGGCCGAUGCCCGAUUAGCUAGUUGGUGAGGUAAAGGCUCACCAAGGCGACGAUCGGUAGCUGGUUUGAGAGAACGACCAGCCACACUGGGACUGAGACACGGCCCAGACUCCUACGGGAGGCAGCAGUGGGGAAUUUUGGACAAUGGGCGCAAGCCUGAUCCAGCCAUGCCGCGUGCGGGAUGAAGGCCU